GAAAGGAAUGCUAAUACCGCGUAAGACCACGCUCACUACGGUGAAAGUGGUUAAAGGUGCCUCAAAGCACCACCGGAGGAUGAGCCUGCGUCCCAUCAGCUUGUUGGUAAGGUAAUGGCUUACCAAGGCGAAGACGGGUAGCUGGUCUGAGAGGAUGAUCAGCCACACUGGCACUGGAACACGGGCCAGACUCCUACGGGAGGCAGCAGUGAGGAAUAUUGGGCAAUGGGCGAAAGCCUGACCCAGCCACGCCGCGUGUGUGAUGAAGGCCUUCGGGUCGUAAAGCACUGUGGAGAGGGACGAACAUGCGCAAGAGGAAAUGCUUGCGUACUGACGGUACCUCUUUAGCAAGCACCGGCUAACUCUGUGCCAGCAGCCGCGGUAAUACAGAGGGUGCGAACGUUGCUCGGAUUUACUGGGCGUAAAGCGCGUGUAGGCGGACUCGCAAGUCGGUUGUGAAAUCCCUGGGCUUAACCUAGGAACUGCAUCCGAAACUGCUUGUCUUGAGUAAUGGAGAGGGUGGCGGAAUUCCCGGUGUA
rnacentral:rRNA from 1 species